AGCGAACGCUGGCGGUAGGCCUAACACAUGCAAGUCGAACGGCAGCACAGUAAGAGCUUGCUCUUACGGGUGGCGAGUGGCGGACGGGUGAGGAAUACAUCGGAAUCUACUUUUUCGUGGGGGAUAACGUAGGGAAACUUACGCUAAUACCGCAUACGACCUACGGGUGAAAGCAGGGGAUCUUCGGACCUUGCGCGAUUGAAUGAGCCGAUGUCGGAUUAGCUAGUUGGCGGGGUAAAGGCCCACCAAGGCGACGAUCCGUAGCUGGUCUGAGAGGAUGAUCCGCCACACUGGAACUGAGACACGGUCCAGACUCCUACGGGAGGCAGCAGUGGGGAAUAUUGGACAAUGGGCGCAAGCCUGAUCCAGCCAUACCGCGUGGGUGAAGAAGGCCUUCGGGUUGUAAAGCCCUUUUGUUGGGAAAGAAAAGCAGCAGGUUAAUACCCCGCUGUUCUGACGGUACCCAAAGAAUAAGCACCGGCUAACUUCGUG
rnacentral:rRNA from 1 species